AACGCACAUUGCGCCCUUUGGUAUUCCUCAGGGCAUGCCUAUUCGAGCGUCGUUUCGACCCAGCGCAAGCUGUUUUGGGAGAUCCCGCUUGGGAUUCCUUAAAAUCAUCGGCGGCAGCAGCGAGCCAAACGCAGCAGAUUGCGCGCACCUCGCGGCCGUCGCCGUAAAACCGCUGCCUAGCAGCUCACAGCUCGACCUCGAAUUAGGUAGGGAUACCCGCUGAACUUAA
rnacentral:misc_RNA from 1 species